rnacentral:ncRNA from 1 species
CUCCCGGACGGGGAGGUAGUGACGAAAAAUAACGAUACGGGACUCAUCCGAGGCCCCGUAAUCGGAAUGAGAACACUUUAAAACCUUUAAACGAGGAUCAAUUGGAGGGCAAGUCUGGUGCCAGCAGCCGCGGUAAUUCCAGCUCCAAUAGCGUAUAUUAAAGUUGUUGCGGUUAAAAAGCUCGUAGUCGGAUCUGUGUCUGGACGGUGCCGGACCACCCUGGCGGUCCGUCGUGUCGCGGCCGGCCGUGUCGCGGGACCACGUGUCCCGUCGGCGCGGUCGCCGUCGCGCUCGUCAGCCGUCUCGGGGUGUUAGUUACCGGCACGUCGGCCGGACGUAUUGUCGGCAGGCGGACACGUGUCUCGUGCUUCCGGCGCGCCGCGCGGCCACGCGUCGCGCGGCCGUCGGUGUUCGACGACGGCGGCCGCCUACUCCAAUCUUGCUGCGCGGUGCUCUUCACCGAGUGCCGUCGGCGGGCCGACACGUUUACUUUGAACAAAUUAGAGUGCUCAAAGCAGGCUCGAAUCUGGCGGGGCGGCUUCACGGCCGUCUCGUCAAAAGGCCCUGAAUACUGGUCGCAUGGAAUAAUGGAACAAGACCUCGGUCCCGCGCAUCUCCGCCCUUCGCGGGCGCGCGAAAUCGCCCUCCGGGGCGUUUCCGUGCGCGGGCCGCCGGGCCGCGGGCGCCAGUCGCCCGCGCGUCCCGCCGGGCCGGUUUUCGGGACCGGAGGUAAUGAUCAACAGAGACGGGCGGGGGCAUUCGUACCGAGACGUUAGAGGUGAAAUUCUUGGAUCGUCUCGAGACGAACUGACGCGAAAGCAUUUGCCAAGUACGUUCUCGUAUGAUCAAGAACGAAAGUUAGAGGUUCGAAGGCGAUCAGAUACCGCCCUAGUUCUAACUGUAAACGAUGCCAGCUAGCGAUCCGCCGGCGUUUCAUUAACGACCCGGCGGGCAGCUUCCGGGAAACCGAAGCUUUUCGGUUCCGGGGGAAGUAUGAUUGCAAAGUUGAAACUUAAAGGAAUUGACGGAAGGGCACCACCAGGAGUGGAGCCUGCGGCUUAAUUUGACUCAACACGGGAAACCUCACCAGGCCCGGACACCGGAAAGAUUGACAGAUUGAGAGCUCUUUCUUGAUUCGGUGGGUGGUGGUGCAUGGCCGUUCUUAGUUGGUGGAGCGAUCUGUCUGGUUAAUUCCGAUAACGAACGAGACUCUGUCCUGCUAACUAGGCGGGUAAACCCGGGUCGGCGUGUGCGCGGCGCUGGCGGUUUCGGCCGUCAGUGUUCGCGUACCCGUCGGCUCGGCCCGGUAUCCCCGAACGCGUUCGCCCGUCGUCCACGGCGGUCGUCGGGCGCGGCCGCGCCAUCCGCGUCCCGGCGUUCGGCGGGCGUAUGUCGGCCGGGGGGCAACCUCCCGGUCGGCCUGCGUCCGUCGUGCGUCGGGCUCCCGUGGUGAAGCGCGCCGUGUUCGCGGCCGUCGCCGGCGGAUCACGAUACGUUACUAGGGCUACCGCCGGCUCCCACGAGCUUACACUCUUCUAGAGGGACAGGCGGCGGACGAACAUAGCCGCACGAAACUGAGCGAUAACAGGUCUGUGAUGCCCUUACAUGUUCUGG